rnacentral:rRNA from 1 species
CCACAAGGCAUUCCCUAGUAGCGGCGAGCGAAGCGGGAAGAGCUCAAAUUUAUAAUCUGGCACCUUCGGUGUCCGAGUUGUAAUCUCUAGAAGUGUUUUCCGCGUUGGACCGCACACAAGUCUGUUGGAAUACAGCGGCACAGUGGUGAUACCCCCGUACACGGUGCGGACGCCCAGCGCUUUGUGAUACACUUUCAAUGAGUCGAGUUGUUUGGGAAUGCAGCUCAAAUUGGGUGGUAAAUUCCAUCUAAAGCUAAAUAUUGGCGAGAGACCGAUAGCGAACAAGUACCGUGAGGGAAAGAUGAAAAGCACUUUGGAAAGAGAGUUAACAGUACGUGAAAUUGUUGGAAGGGAAACGCUUGAAGUCAGACUUGCUUGCCGGAGCUUGCUUCGGUUUGCAGGCCAGCAUCAGUUUUCCGGGGUGGAUAAUGGUGGUUUGAAGGUAGCAGCCUCGGCUGUGUUAUAGCUUUCCACUGGAUACAUCCUGGGGGACUGAGGAACGCAGCGUGCUUUUUGCGAAGGUUUCGACCUUUUCACGCUUAGGAUGCUGGUGUAAUGACUUUAAACGACCCGUCUUGAAACAACGGACCAAUA